rnacentral:rRNA from 1 species
UACGGGGGGGGCAAGCGUUGUUCGGAAUUACUGGGCGUAAAGGGCUCGUAGGCGGCCAACUAAGUCGGACGUGAAAUCCCUCGGCUUAACCGGGGAACUGCGUCCGAUACUGGAUGGCUGGAGGUUGGGAGAGGGAUGCGGAAUUCCAGGUGUAGCGGUGAAAUGCGUAGAUAUCUGGAGGAACACCGGUGGCGAAGGCGGCAUCCUGAACCAAUUCUGACGCUGAGGAGCGAAAGCCAGGGGAGCAAACGGG